GGGGAUGUAACUUAGUGGCAGAGCACUGCCUAGUAUGUGAGAGGCCCUGGGUUCAAUUCCCAAUAUCCCAA
rnacentral:tRNA from 1 species